GACGAACGCUGGCGGCGUGCCUAACACAUGCAAGUCGAACGGAGAUGAUGGAGUAGCUUGCUAUUUUAUCAUCUUAGUGGCGGACGGGUGAGUAACACGUGGGCAACCUGCCCCAAAGAGGGGGAUAACACCGAGAAAUCGGUGCUAAUACCGCAUAACAUUAGAGCUUCGCAUGGAGCUUUAAUCAAAGGAGCAAUCCGCUUUGGGAUGGGCCCGCGUCUGAUUAGCUAGUUGGUGAGGUAAUGGCUCACCAAGGCGACGAUCAGUAGCCGAUCUGAGAGGAUGACCGGCCACACUGGAACUGAGGCACGGUCCAGACUCCUACGGGAGGCAGCAGUGGGGAAUAUUGCACAAUGGGGGAAACCCGUGAUGCAGCAACGCCGCGUGGAGGAAGAAGGUCUUCGGAUUGUAAACUCCUGUCUUCUGGGACGAAGAACGACGGUACCGAGAGGAGGAAGCCACGGCUAACUACGUGCCAGCAGCCGCGGUAAAC
rnacentral:rRNA from 1 species